ACUCCUACGAGAGGCAGCAGUGGGGAAUAUUGCACAAUGGGCGCAAGCCUGAUGCAGCCAUGCCGCGUGUAUGAAGAAGGCCUUCGGGUUGUAAAGUACUUUCAGCGGGGAGGAAGGCGAUAAGGUUAAUAACCUUGUCGAUUGACGUUACCCGCAGAAGAAGCACCGGCUAACUCCGUGCCAGCAGCCGCGGUAAUACGGAGGGUGCAAGCGUUAAUCGGAAUUACUGGGCGUAAAGCGCACGCAGGCGGUCUGUCAAGUCGGAUGUGAAAUCCCCGGGCUCAACCUGGGAACUGCAUUCGAAACUGGCAGGCUAGAGUCUUGUAGAGGGGGGUAGAAUUCCAGGUGUAGCGGUGAAAUGCGUAGAGAUCUGGAGGAAUACCGGUGGCGAAGGCGGCCCCCUGGACAAAGACUGACGCUCAGGUGCGAAAGCGUGGGGAGCAAACAGGAUUAGAAACCCCAGUAGUCCCAUGAU
rnacentral:rRNA from 1 species